AUGGGCUGCCACCUCCGACCUUGGUCUUUCCUGAGCUCAGUGGCUGUGAACUGGGAUCUGCUCCCCUGGUUGGCCGUUAGAUAUGGAAGCUCAGCUAUCUGUCAGACCCCUGUGAUUAAGCCUUGCAACCCGGCCUCACCUGUGUCUUUCUUAGGACCUGUGCUCCGUGAAUCAUGCUUGGAAUUUCCUUACUUGUUGGUAUUUGCCCCCCGAAGGAGCCGAAGACACGGCCCUGGUGGGUGUGAGCAGUGCAAGUCCUCAGGCAGCAGCUCUCAGCCCUGGCAGGGGGUACAGAGACCACGCAGGAACUUGAAGGGUGAGGAGGAGGAAGCCAAGGACAAGCUGGGAAGAAGAGGCCUUUCCACAAUGAAGACUGAUUUCCUCUGAACUGAAUACAAAACAAAAUCUCUCCUGUAGCUCUCAAGUGCUCUGUGCAUUCUAAGCCACACCAUCUAGACAACCUGGGCGCAUGGGUGUGAUGGGAACCACGUUGUUCCAGUCCACACUUGUGCAGACCAGUGUCCUACACUGCCUAGCAUCAUCAGGCACAGACUCUGAGAACAGAAAGGAACCUUCACGCUUGUUGAUGGUGAGCCAUGGUCCCCAAACACACCAGCAUCCUCA
rnacentral:lncRNA from 1 species